GACGAACGCUGGCGGCGUGCUUAACACAUGCAAGUCGAACGGAAAGGCCCUGCUUUUGUGGGGUGCUCGAGUGGCGAACGGGUGAGUAACACGUGAGUAACCUGCCCUUGACUUUGGGAUAACUUCAGGAAACUGGGGCUAAUACCGGAUAGGAGCUCCUGCUGCAUGGUGGGGGUUGGAAAGUUUCGGCGGUUGGGGAUGGACUCGCGGCUUAUCAGCUUGUUGGUGGGGUAGUGGCUUACCAAGGCUUUGACGGGUAGCCGGCCUGAGAGGGUGACCGGCCACAUUGGGACUGAGAUACGGCCCAGACUCCUACGGGAGGCAGCAGUGGGGAAUAUUGCACAAUGGGUGGAAGCCUGAUGCAGCAACGCCGUGUGCGUGAUGACGGCCUUCGGGUUGUAAACCGCUUUCGCUCAUGACGAAGCUUUGUGUGACGGUAGUGGGUAGAGAAGCACCGGCUAACUACGUG
rnacentral:rRNA from 1 species